rnacentral:lncRNA from 1 species
GAUGCACUGUUCUGUUGCAGUGCUCAGGGAUACGAGGAGGGGAAGGAACAAGAUGAGUUCCAAGAAAGCAACAAACCGGGGUUUGGUACUUGUCCUUCUGCUCGUUGUUUUGCCUGCGCUUUCGGUCGGCACGCACGCAGGAGAAAGAGAGUUGCCAGAUGAAAAGGAUCACAAGGGCCAUUCCACUGUUGCUUCUGGAAAGGGGGGAACGGCUUCAGGAGAUAUGGUGAAGACGAAUGACUAUGGGCGCUACGAUCCAACUCCGGCGUUCUCCAAGCCUCGCUCCAAGCUUAUACCCAACUAAUUACACUCACACUUGCUGCAUCUACAUGCUUACUAUAUGGAUGGCAUGCAUAGAAAUAUAGUCCUGUACAGAAUAUAAUGCUCACUUCGUUUUUUUUUGUCGCGUUCUAGUUCAAAAAUAAACUAAUCGGCGAUAAAUAUUUAAGAACGGAGGUAGUAUCUAGUAUCUAGCCUUGACGCCUCUACUGAAUGUACCUCUACUGAAUGUACUCGGCUUCAGUUCUUAAGUUUGGUGUGUUGGAUCUCUGUUUCGUCUUCCUUUUAUUUUCUAACAACACCAGGUUAAGAAUCCUUA